UACGAAGGGAGCUAGCGUUGUUCGGAAUCACUGGGCGUAAAGCGCACGUAGGCGGACGUGUCAGUCAGGGGUGAAAUCCCGGAGCUCAACUUCGGAACUGCCUUUGAUACAGCACGUCUUGAGUCCGGAAGAGGUGGGUGGAAUUCCUAGUGUAGCGGUGAAAUGCGCAGAUAUCAGGAGGAACACCGGUGGCGAAGGCGCCACUCUGGGCCGAAACUGACGCUGAGGAGCGAAAGCGUGGGUAGCAAACAGG
rnacentral:rRNA from 1 species